UACGAAGGGGGCUAGCGUUGCUCGGAAUUACUGGGCGUAAAGGGAGCGUAGGCGGACAUUUAAGUCAGGGGUGAAAUCCCAGAGCUCAACUCUGGAACUGCCUUUGAUACUGGGUGUCUUGAGUGUGAUAGAGGUAUGUGGAACUCCGAGUGUAGAGGUGAAAUUCGUAGAUAUUCGGAAGAACACCAGUGGCGAAGGCGACAUACUGGAUCAUUACUGACGCUGAGGCUCGAAAGCGUGGGGAGCAAA
rnacentral:rRNA from 1 species